rnacentral:tRNA from 4 species
GUGUUGUUAGCUCAGGUAGUUCCAGGAACAUCUAAGCCGUGGGUCGCAGGUUCGAAUCCUGCAGGGCGCGCCA